UCUUGCAAACGUUAAAAUUGGAGAUUAGCUAAGUAGGUCAGCAAGGAUGAAUUUCUAACGUUGUUCUUUUUUUUCCUUUUCUUCAGAUGACUUUUUUUUUAACUCCCAAGCUUUUUCCCUCCAAGUUUCUGUGCAGUUCUGUCCUGCUGACUGCUAACAUAGCUUCAUCUCUUCAAAAGACAAGACAACAGGUGUCUUUCACCAAGAUGUCUGUUGAAAUGGAAAUGACCUUACCCACUACACCAAGGGUAAUCAUGUUUGGAAAUAGCUUGAUGUCUGCAACCCGGUGGAUGGUCAGUAUAGAGGAGAAGGUAUUUUUCGAGCCUGAGCAACUACAUGACUUUGCCAGCGUCCUUGCUGUCUUUUUUUGGGUCAUAUUAUGUCUUCAAUCUGGAGUAUCAGGAGUCAGCAUCAACCACGCUGGAGAUGAUACAACG